CUUGGAUCCCCCCCUCCCCGAUGGAAAGAAAAUGUUUCACUCGACCGACCGACCCAUCAACCAACCUCAUAAUAAUAAUUUAAUUUCUUGUUGUCAAUCGGGAACAAUUACGCAAACACAAUACAAAAACAACAACGGGAACAAGUAACAGAAGAAAUAUAAUGUAGAUUUAUUUAUAAAUUACAUUUACAUAUGAAGAAGAGACAUAAACACAACAGAAAUUAAACGACAAAAAAGCUAAGAUGUUCAAUCUGAGUGUUGAGGAAUAGGAGGAUAACCCAGGUAAGAAGAAAGGGAGAAGAAGAAACGUUGGAAAGGAAGACAAAAGAUGAGACCCAAAACGGCGUCGCUGCUCAACAUCUCAGGAUUACACGCUAUGUAUUGACACAACCUAGCUGACACGUGCGCCACCCUCAUCACCACACCGCUGUUCAGUACCAUCCUUCCUUCUACGUUCUUUGUACUUUGAUUGAUGUUAUUGCAGUCAGUUAGAUCUAACAACAACAGAUAUGCGUCUUGUGUUGUACUUUGUUUCUUUUGUGAUCCAAAUUCAAACAUUGGACGUUUCUAUUUAUUGGAUGAUACCAACAAACAAUGAUAUUAUUAUUGACUAAAUAGUCAAUUUCCCCCCUCAAAUUGUAAGUUUCAUCAAUUAUCCUUUUGAAAUUAACAAAAUUUCAAUUACCCCCUAAAAUUGCAUAACGUUAAUC
rnacentral:lncRNA from 1 species